rnacentral:rRNA from 1 species
GACGAACGCUGGCGGCGUGCUUAACACAUGCAAGUCGAACGGAAAGGCCCAGCUUGCUGGGUACUCGAGUGGCGAACGGGUGAGUAACACGUGGGUGAUCUGCCCUGCACUCUGGGAUAAGCCUGGGAAACUGGGUCUAAUACCGGAUAUGACCAACUGUCGCAUGGUGGUUGGUGGAAAGCUUUUGCGGUGUGGGAUGGGCCCGCGGCCUAUCAGCUUGUUGGUGGGGUAAUGGCCUACCAAGGCGACGACGGGUAGCCGACCUGAGAGGGUAAUCGGCCACACUGGGACUAAGACACGGCCCAGACUCCUACGGGAGGCAGCAGUGGGGAAUAUUGCACAAUGGGCGCAAGCCUGAUGCAGCGACGCCGCGUGAGGGAUGACGGCCUUCGGGUUGUAAACCUCUUUCACCAGGGACGAAGCGUGAGUGACGGUACCUGGAGAAGAAGCACCGGCCAACUACGUGCCAGCAGCCGCGGUAACAC